CUGGUUUCUGACUCAUGUGGCCUGGUGCCUGUUGGGCUGAGAACUGUGUCCCUCUGGGGACAUGUGGCUCCUGGCUCAUGGGACGCGGGCCUCCCAGGCCUUUGGUAGGACCUCUGAGUCCUCGCAGCCUCAUUCUCUCCCCCGCCGCUCCACCCUCUGCCCUGGGCUGCAUUGGACCCUGGCUCUGGAUCUGCAAUGCCCCUUCCCUCUGCCCUUUGGGCAGGUUUGGUGGAGCAGCUGGUGUGGGGUUAGAGCAGGUGCACCAUGUGGUCUGCUGAGCACAGCCGCUGGGAGGGUGGCUCAGUCCUUCUCCGGCCUGGGGGUCUCAUCACCUGUGCCUGCUGUCUUGUAGAUAAAAUAUAGGAUGCCCAGUUAAACUCAGACAAAUAUCAGAUGCUGAGGCUCUGGCAGGGAUAAUUUAGUUCUGGUUCCUGCCCUACUGAAGAUCAGAUUCUGGGAGGAAGGGAGACAACCCAGAGCCAUGAAACCCAAAUAGAACAUGAGUGUGAGGUGAAACCAAAGUAACCUGAGGCUCAGAGAGGUUAUGUACAUUUCCUAAGGUCGCACAGCUGGAGACCUGCCUGGGUCCACAACUUCAUCUCUGCAUCCCGGGCAUCACCUACAGGUGCCGAAGGCCAGCUCUGUCCCUGUGGAGGGCACCUGGGGCUGGAAUUCUGGUGGAGGCCUGGUCUGGCUUUCCCUUCUGCUGUGCUGUGAGACUCAAGCCCGGGGGUCAAAUUCCAGCCCCACAAGUCCUUGUGAAGGUAUUUUUAAAAAGAGGUUCUAUUACCAUUUAAUUGUGGCUCUGCCCUUGAAGCGGGCUCCCAACUCUCUUUAAUAGACGACUUGGCCUUGAAUUUCUCUCCCCGGAGCCCAGGGAAUAGAGGCUGCGCUGGGGGGUCUGACACCCGGGCUCCUCCAGCUGUGGAACCUCCGCAGGUCCUGCCUCUCUCACCUUGGCCUCUUGCAAAGCUCCUUUCAGGGUAUAUUUAUAUGCAUGACUGAUUCACUUUGCUGUACACCUGAAACGAAUACAACCUUGUAAAUAAUAAUAAUAAAGUUCCUUUUAGCCCCAAGGCAAGCCCACAACCCCUCCCCUCACGACAGCAGCUUGCUGGAAGCCAGGAGUGGAGUGGGUGGAGGGUGAGGCUGAACCAGAGCAGCAAGGAGGGCUCUGGGCCAGCUUAGUGGGUUUGGAAGGGAGUGGGAUGAAGUUUAAGCACAGGUUCUGGAAUCCCUAGACCUGUGCAAAUCCCCACACAGGAUCUGUGUUGUUGCACAGGCCCCAUGCUCCAAAGAUUCCUUAUUUAUCGUUACGUUCUGCCAUCGCUGUCUUGAAAUUCUUAAUUUUCUGAGUAAGGAGCCCGGCAUUUUCAUGUUGCUCCGAGUCCUCCAAUAAUGUAUCAGCACUGCUACUUGGCAAGUGACAUCGCUUCCUUGAUCCUCAGUUUUCUCAUCUGCAAAACGGAGCAGUGCUCCCCAUCCUCCAGCCCUUGGAGGUUUGCUCUGAGAAUGCACGGAGGGACUCCAGGCAAAGAGCCAGGCAGCAGUGAGGCCAUGACAGGUGUCAAUCCCUAGUAAAUACUGCAGUCUUUCUAAAAGUUUUUUAGGGUCCAACAGGGAGGGAGCCACAGUCUGUCUCCCAGACUUGUUCACAGAUGGGACAUUUCAGGCCAAAAAUAAAAUCCUUGGAGUUUCCCCUGUGGCUUAGUGGGUUAAGAA